rnacentral:rRNA from 1 species
UGGGGAAUUUUGGACAAUGGGCGAAAGCCUGAUCCAGCAAUGCCGCGUGUGUGAAGAAGGCCUUCGGGUUGUAAAGCACUUUUGUCCGGAAAGAAAUCCUUGGCUCUAAUACAGUCGGGGGAUGACGGUACCGGAAGAAUAAGCACCGGCUAACUACGUGCCAGCAGCCGCGGUAAUACGUAGGGUGCAAGCGUUAAUCGGAAUUACUGGGCGUAAAGCGUGCGCAGGCGGUUUGCUAAGACCGAUGUGAAAUCCCGGGCUCAACCUGGGAACUGCAUUGGUGACUGGGCAGGCUAGAGUAUGGCAGGAGGGGGGUUAGAAUUCCACGUGUAGCAGUGAAAGUGCGUAGAGAUGUGGAGGAAUACCGAUGGCGAAGGCAG